rnacentral:rRNA from 2 species
AGAGUUUGAUCCUGGCUCAGGACGAACGCUGGCGGCGUGCCUAAUACAUGCAAGUCGAACGAACUCUGGUAUUGAUUGGUGCUUGCAUCAUGAUUUACAUUUGAGUGAGUGGGGAACUGGUGAUUAACACGUGGGAAACCUGCCCAGAAGCGGGGGAUAACACCUGGAAACAGAUGCUAAUACCGCAUAACAACUUGGACCGCAUGGUCCGAGUUUGAAAGAUGGCUUCGGCUAUCACUUUUGGAUGGUCCCGCGGCGUAUUAGCUAGAUGGUGGGGUAACGGCUCACCAUGGCAAUGAUACGUAGCCGACCUGAGAGGGUAAUCGGCCACAUUGGGACUGAGACACGGCCCAAACUCCUACGGGAGGCAGCAGUAGGGAAUCUUCCACAAUGGACGAAAGUCUGAUGGAGCAACGCCGCGUGAGUGAAGAAGGUUUUCGGCUCGUAAAACUUCUGUUUGUUAAAGAAGAACCAUAUUCUGAGAGGUACUGUCAGGUAUUGACGUAUUAACCAGAAAGCACGGCUAACUACGUGCAGCAGCCGCGGUAUACGUAGGUGGCAAGCGUUGUCCGGAUUAUGGGCGUAAAGCGAGCGCAGGCGGUUUUUAAGUCUGAUGUGAAAGCUUCGGCUCACCCGAAGAAGUGCAUCGGAAACUGGGAAACUUGAGUGCAGAAGAGGACAGUGGAACUCCAUGUGUAGCGGUGAAAUGCGUAGAUAUAUGGAAGAACACCAGUGGCGAAGGCGGCUGUCUGGUCUGUAACUGACGCUGAGGCUCGAAAGUAUGGGUAGCAAACAGGAUUAGAUACCCUGGUAGUCCAUACCGUAAAACGAUGAAUGCUAAGUGUUGGAGGGUUUCCGCCCUUCAGUGCUGCAGCUAACGCAUUAAGCAUUCCGCCUGGGGAGUACGGCCGCAAGGCUGAAACUCAAAGGAAUUGACGGGGGCCCGCACAAGCGGUGGAGCAUGUGGUUUAAUUCGAAGCUACGCGAAGAACCUUACCAGGUCUUGACAUACUAUGCAAAUCUAAGAGAUUAGACGUUCCCUUCGGGGACAUGGAUACAGGUGGUGCAUGGUUGUCGUCAGCUCGUGUCGUGAGAUGUUGGGUUAAGUCCCGCAACGAGCGCAACCCUUAUUAUCAGUUGCCAGCAUUAAGUUGGGCACUCUGGUGAGACUGCCGGUGACAAACCGGAAGAAGGUGGGGAUGACGUCAAAUCAUCAUGCCCCUUAUGACCUGGGCUACACACGUGCUACAAUGGAUGGUACAACGAGUUGCGAACUCGCGAGAGUAAGCUAAUCUCUUAAAGCCAUUCUCAGUUCGGAUUGUAGGCUGCAACUCGCCUACAUGAAGUCGGAAUCGCUAGUAAUCGCGGAUCAGCAUGCCGCGGUGAAUACGUUCCCGGGCCUUGUACACACCGCCCGUCACACCAUGAGAGUUUGUAACACCCAAAGUCGGUGGGGUAACCUUUUAGGAACCAGCCGCCUAAGGUGGGACAGAUGAUUAGGGUGAAGUCGUAACAAGGUAACC